rnacentral:miRNA from 1 species
UGUGGUCUUCAUGCCAUGAUUUU